rnacentral:rRNA from 1 species
GAUGAACGCUGGCGGCGUGCCUAAUACAUGCAAGUCGAGCGAACAGACGAGGAGCUUGCUCCUCUGACGUUAGCGGCGGACGGGUGAGUAACACGUGGAUAACCUACCUAUAAGACUGGGAUAACUUCGGGAAACCGGAGCUAAUACCGGAUAAUAUAUUGAACCGCAUGGUUCAAUAGUGAAAGACGGUUUUGCUGUCACUUAUCGAUGGAUCCCCGCCGCAUUAGCUAGUUGGUAAGGUAACGGCUUACCAAGGCAACGAUGCGUAGCCGACCUGAGAGGGUGAUCGGCCACACUGGAACUGAGACACGGUCCAGAGUCCUACGGGAGGCAGCAGUAGGGAAUCUUCCGCAAUGGGCGAAAGCCUGACGGAGCAACGCCGCGUGAGUGAUGAAGGUCUUCGGAUCGUAAAACUCUGUUAUUAGGGAAGAACAAAUGUGUAAGUAACUAUGCACGUCUUGACGGUACCUAAUCAGAAAGCCACGGCUAACUACGUG